rnacentral:rRNA from 1 species
CCGUAGCCCAAGAGACUGGGAUAACACCUGGAAACAGAUGCUAAUACCGGAUAACAACACUAGACGCAUGUCUAGAGUUUAAAAGAUGGUUCUGCUAUCACUCUUGGAUGGAUCUGCGGUGCAUUAGCUAGUUGGUAAGGUAACGGCUUACCAAGGCAAUGAUGCAUAGCCGAGUUGAGAGACUGAUCGGCCACAUUGGGACUGAGACACGGCCCAAACUCCUACGGAAGGCAGCAG